rnacentral:rRNA from 1 species
CGCGUAGGCGGGCCGCCAGGCCCGUGGUGAAAUCCCCCGGCUCAACCGGGGAAGUGCCGCGGGGACCGGCGGUCUGGAGUGAGAUAGGGGCGUGCGGAACUGUGGGUGGAGCGGUGAAAUGCGUUGAUAUCCACAGGAACUCCGGUGGCGAAGGCGGCACGCUGGAUCUCUACUGACGCUGAGGCGCGAAAGCCAGGGGAGCAACG